UAUAAUUUUAAAGCUAUAGUUUAAAUUAUUUAUAUAUGUACAUAUAUAGCUAAUUAUUGAUAUAUCAUCUAUAAUUAUGAACAUAUAAAGUAUUAUUUACAUGUUUUAAUUUAAUCUGCAUCUCUCACCAGUCACCCACAUUGCCAAUGGAGUCCAAACUUGGAACAUUAACCUUAGGAAACACCCUCCCAGUGCCUUAUGUUCAGGAUCUGGCAAAGAGAUCGUUGGCUACAGUUCCAUCUAGGUAUGUAAGACCUGAUCAGGACCCUCCAUUUCUAUCCAAUUCUUCUUCGUCCGAUCAGGUUCCGAUCAUCGACAUGAACAAAUUGCUUUCGGAAGACUCCGAGCUCGACAAGUUUCAUAAUGCUUGCAAAGAUUGGGGAUUCUUUCAGUUGAUUAACCAUGGAGUUAGUGAGUCAUUGGUGGAGACGAUGAAAAUAGUAGCUAAAAAUUUAUUUAAUCUUCCGAGUGAUGAGAAAAAGAAAUUUGGUAGUGUAAAUGGAGAAGCUGAAGGGUACGGUCAAUUAUUUGUUGUCUCCGAAGAACAAAAACUUGAUUGGUGUGAUCUCUUAAGCCUCACCACUAUUCCCGUCCAUUUGCGGAGGGACUAUUUGUUACCAAAAUUCCCUCCUCCAUUAAGAAAUGCUCUUGAAGUUUACUCGAAAGAAAUGCAAAAUCUUGGCAUGAAAAUGGUUAAUUUAGUGGCAAAGUCUCUAAGGAUAGAACCUAGUGAUAAUCUGAUAAGACUAUUUGAACCAGAAGGGUGGCAGGCAAUAAGAUUAAAUUAUUAUCCUCCAUGUCCGCAGCCUGAGCUUGUAAUGGGCAUUUCUCCUCAUUCAGAUAGCAGUGGACUCACCAUUCUUCUGCAAGUCAAUGAAAUCGAUGGACUCCAAAUUAAGAAGGACAAAAAUUGGGUUUCGAUUCAACCCGUCGCUAAUGCUUUUAUCAUCAACAUCGGAGACAUGUUUGAGAUUAUGUCGAAUGGAAUUUACUCAAGCAUAGAGCAUAGAGCAGUAGUUGACUCAGUGAAAGAGAGAAUUUCGAUUGCCACAUUUUGUAGCCCAAGAUUUGAUGCAGAGAUUGGUCCGAUGCCGACUACUCCUCAAAUGGCACCAUUGUUUGAAAGAUUCACAUUUGCAGAUUAUAUGAAAGAAUUCUUGUCUCAUAAACUCGAUGGAAAAUCUCGAUUUCAUAAGCUUAGGGUUUCUCAAAGUUGAGGGCAGAGAGCAAAAUAUAAAGCUUAAGCUACGUUAUUAAUUUGAUCUACAUAUUCAAGGAAGUGACGGAAUCACUCCUGAUGACCUAAAAUGGAACGGGCUUUUUGGUGCGCUCACACUUCUUUUACCGGCUUCCAUAUAGGUGGCAAAAUUGUAUUAACCGUUGUACAAUUAAAAGCCUUCUCCGUAAGAAAAUGACCCUCUAGACACCACUUAUACUUAUUAUUACUUUCCCUUAACUCUCCUCGAAAGAUAUCCAGGCCACCAUCCUCCUCAUCCGCAACCACCAUCGUAGACUCGUAAUCCACAACACCUCUUAAACUAGCCAUGAGAAAAGAACAGAAACCAGAAAAAAGAGAAAAAACGAACCAGAAAAAGAGCAAAAGAAGCAAACCCUAACUUCACUUAAUAUUGUUUAAAAUUUUGAUCAUGUAUUGGCUGUUGAUAAAAAUACCAAAUUGUAAUAAAAGUGGACUAUAAGUCCGGAGAUCGAACCCAUAGGGAUAGCAGAUUAAAUGAGAAUGAUUUUCAAGUGAAUAUAAA